ACCGAGCGCGUCGCGCGAUGCACCAGCACCACUGCUUCACUGCACACCCGUUAACUGAACUGCUGGCGGUAAUGAGAAAGUUGUUUCCAAUGCAAUUGUGUAUUAUGUAGUCAUCAAAUUAGAGAACUCGUUCUAUAAUACUUUGCGACAAUUACAACACUUGACUGUAACUGCACUGCGGGAAAGUACUACAAUCAAUUAGGCCAUCAAACACCGGAAAAUAAUGUUUCUUUUAAAAAGCGCUACCUGCUUCAAUUUUCCGGGUUUGUCCAUGUCGAUAGUUAAGAUGACACGUGUCACAGCGGUGGUUACCGUAAACAGUGGAGUAUAUUUGCCUAAGAUGACGCCAUCCACGCAGAAGCCGCGUCAUCCGCAGAAUACGAAGGUCGCGUCAUCUUCGGAAAAUUUAAUAUAUUAUUAUGAAUAUUAACCGAAGCUGGGUUUGGUGCAAAGAGCAUUAUGAAGAAAUAGUGUCCUCUUAAUAUGCGUAGGAAGCUAAACCAGAAUUUGUGACAGACGUCUGUGAUUAAAGCCGCGGCACGCGAGCUUGGGGGCUUUGGGCACCACUAAAAUACCACCACCAAUGGACUGCCUUCGUGGUAUCGAUCCACUACACCACGACGAAAGCGGAGUCACACUAUAGCUACAUCACUUUGUAGAUGUUCUUUAACUUUCUUUGGAAUAAAGGCGAUUUUAGGGCAACCUUUCACGCCUAUGAGCUGGAUUAAUGGCCUGAAUGCCCUAAAUAACCGUGAGUUUAAGGUGA